UGGCGGCGUGCCUAACACAUGCAAGUCGAACGGGAAAACAGGGGCAACUCUGUGAGUACAGUGGCGUACGGGUGAGUAACACGUGACUACCUACCCUCGAGUGGGGGAUAACCCCGGGAAACCGGGGCUAAUACCGCAUAACAUCGCAAGAUCAAAGGAGUAAUCCGCUUGAGGAGGGGGUCGCGGCUGAUUAGCUAGUUGGUGAGGUAACGGCCCACCAAGGCGAUGAUCGGUAGCCGGCCUGAGAGGGCGCACGGCCACACUGGAACUGAAACACGGUCCAGACUCCUACGGGAGGCAGCAGUGGGGAAUUUUGCGCAAUGGGGGAAACCCUGACGCAGCAACGCCGCGUGGAGGAUGAAGUCCCUUGGGACGUAAACUCCUUUCGACCCGGACGAUAAUGACGGUACGGGUGGAAGAAGCACCGGCUAACUUCGUGCCAGCAGCCGCGGUAAUACGAGGGGUGCGAGCGUUGUUCGGAAUUAUUGGGCGUAAAGGGCGCGUAGCGGUGCGGUAAG
rnacentral:rRNA from 1 species